rnacentral:rRNA from 1 species
AACUCGCCUGCAUGAAGCUGGAAUUGCUAGUAAUCGCGGAUCAGCAAGCCGCGGUGAAUACGUUCCCGGGCCUUGUACACACCGCCCGUCACACCAUGAGAGUCGGGAACACCCGAAGUCCGUAGUCUAACCGCAAGGGGGCGCGGCCGAAGGUGGGUCCGGUAAUUGGGGUGAAGUCGUAACAAGGUAAC